GGAACUGUAAGCUCAAAAUGGUAGAGCGACCAGGUAACAACCUGGUAGGUUGGUGGUUCGAGUCCACUCAGGUCCA
rfam:Spinacia oleracea cultivar SynViroflay scaffold19465.con0001.1, whole genome shotgun sequence.